CAAGAAGGGCGGAGGGCUUCCUUUUGUAUUGUUGUGUUUAUUUUUUCUUUAAGAUUUUCUUUCCUUACACUUCACACCAUUCUAUUUUUAAAUUUUUGUCUAUUCAAAAACCUCACUAGUAUUUUUUUUAUUUAUAAUUUUUAUUUUUGGUGUAACAAUUUCGACACCUCUUUACUAAUACAACUGCUACAACCAGAUCCAAUCCCUCAAAUAUCAAACUAUCAACCUCAUCUAAUAUCAAGUACAAGUAACAAGCUUUUGUUCAUAUUUGUUACACUAAUGUUUUGAUCAAGACUAAUUCUUUAACUUUGUAAACAAGCACAUCUGCAACAAACGUGGUUAUAGAGCGAUCUCAAACAACCGAGCAACAACCUGGUUAAAAAAUAUGUUCAAUUUUACACUUUAAUAUAAUUUAUUAUGUCUUGUUGUAAAUAUAAACUUACUUUUACUUGCUUAUAGACCCAAUUUUUGAGACCGAACAAGAACAUGGUACUGAACAAGAACAUGAUGCUAAUACUACAAGCACAAAAUGUGCAUUGACACGUGGCAAGGGUGCAUGAAAGAUAAUGAAAGCAGCCAAGAAGAGAUUGACAGUGAAGUUUGUAUUUUAAAACAAGGCAAGUAGUAUGUGACAAUGCCUCAGCUUUCAUGUAUGAGUGUGGCUACAUUUUGCGUAGCAAUUGUAGCAUGCAAUACAAAGAGUGGAGACAUGAACCAGAAGAAGCUCGGUUUCCGUUACGCCAUAGGCUAACUACACUUUUUGAAAUUGAUGUGGAGGAUGGGAAUAUUCGCAAAGUUAUCAACAACCACAUGGCAAGGGCUUGGAGAACCCACAGAUCUCAGUUGCAUAAUUACUUUAAAGGGAUUGGCGGACCAGUAGAUCCAACAAAGGCAAAGACUACACCCCCUCCAAAUAUGGGUAGCAAAGAUGAUUGGGGGUAUCUUUGUGAUAUGUGGUGUGAGCCAAAAUACAUG